UACCUUGCGCAGUGGCAAUAUCGUAACCAAUGAAGGCCUCCUGAGGUGCGAUUAUUGCUAGUUGAAAACUUUUUGACAAUGUUUUUUCUCUUUUUCUAUAAAAGAUAAAAUUCCCAAAUUUUCUUUAAAU
rnacentral:snRNA from 1 species